rnacentral:lncRNA from 1 species
AAGACACUUCCCUCGUUAAUUAUUGCUCCUUCAAUUAAUUAAUUCCACUUGGCCUAAAGUCCAAAACUAACUUCGCCUGUUAAUCAGUCAUUAAUAAAUAAUUCCUAGUUUUUCUUCAAUUAUUGCUCAAAAAGCGUGUGUGUGUUCAACAACUUUAGUCCCUCCAGGAACAGGUUCAACAACUUUACUAACAUUUCUUACAAAAAUUCCAAGUAUUAGCUAGUUGUUGAAGAUCGAUUAACUGAUUUUACUCUUUUUUUGUUCUAUUUUUUAUAUUUACUUUGUUUCUCUUCAAAUUUUUUGGCGCAGAUGGUGGAAAUCUACCGGGAGAAGUAUCAGGAAGUACAUCACACCAUGGUCCAGGGCCUCACGAGGAUAUCCCAACAGCGAUAGAUAAUACUGUUUAUAGUCGACCAUGUGCAAGCAGCAAUCGUUGUGAGCCUUAGAUGCAUGGAAAUCAGCAGCUACAGAUAAUUAUAUUGUUCGAGUUUUGUUUAGUAUGCACCUGGUUGGAUUUUAUUUUUUGUGUUUGGAUAUGUCAUUAUUAUUCAACUAGGACCGUUAUGUAUUUGUCUUUGAAAUUAUGUUCGGUUAUAUUUAAGUUGAUGAAAAUCUAUUGUUUAUCAUAGAAUUUUUUUAAUUAUGAGCAGUGCUAUGUUAGUUUAUUCUCUCCUAAAGUGGAAAUAUAUGCAUGAUUUAGAGGAUCUUGUGAGAAACUCUCCUAAAGAAAGAAAGGAUAAGCUAAAAGUUGUUGCUUUGAAGAAAAAAAGAUGAUGCACUAUUGUUAUGGGACAAAGGAUUAAGCUUUCAAGAAAAUACUUUAUUUCAUUUUAGGAAGGAUUGUUACAUGCGUUUGAAUAUAGAUGAAAUUUGUAAUAGCUAUUUUUAUUUACGAAUCUUUAAUGCUAUCUAAUUCUUUU